GGAGAAAUGGCAUCGGAGGAUGAAUUGAUGAUGCAGGAUGCUACCGACGACGGCGAGUCCUUCGAUGAUGAUUUCUACAGCGGCGGCGAUGUUCAUGAUGAUUCCGAUGAUGAUGACGUCAUGGAUUACGAUUUCAUCGAUAACGACUCCGAUGAUUCUGAUACGGUCAUCGCACAUCAUCGCUCUCAGUCAAACUAUAGCAUCUUGAAUGAAGCUGAUAUUCACAAAUGCCAAGAGGAAAGUAUUACAAAGAUAUCUACAGUGCUCUCUAUUCCAAGGGUAGCUGCUGGCAUCCUGCUUCGCCAUUAUAACUGGAGUGUCAGCAAAGUGAAUGAUGAAUGGUUUGCA
rnacentral:misc_RNA from 1 species